GCAGCUUUGUGAGUAUUUUUGGUGACAACUUGCUCAAUUUGGAGUACAACUAACAUGAAAACCUGCAGUACGUGAUUGGGGUUCUCAUAAGAAUAUUCCAUGAUUGUUUUUGAGAGAGAAUAAGAACAUACACGACUGUAAAUAAUAAUCACUGAAUUGUAACAAACCACCUCAUGUUUUUCAAAGAUGGACUAGUGAAUACAAAACAUAUUAGAAUAUGUGAUUCAUACAAGACUUUCACGAUUUCUGACCAGCAUCGCAAAGAACAUGUUGGGGUAAAGUAAUUGAAACAGAAUGCAUUCAAGGUUUAAUAGUGAACAUGCUCUAGCAAAAUGAUUGAAUAGCAGGUUACUUGCCACAUCACAUAAUUUUCCAGUGGAAGAACACUCACAGCUCAGAAGCCUCUUGAUGGAUAGCGCUGACAAUGCAAAAUUGAAGGGCAAGAAGUUACGUAUCAGUAGCAAUUCAGCAGUGAAUUUGACAAAUUACAUACCUUCAUACAAGUAGCAAAACACUGAAAAGUCAUUUUUCCCCAUAAUUAGCAAAACACUGAAAAGUCUUUUGAUCCUCAAAACUCAACUUUCCAAGUAUACCACCAAGUCUUUGUGAGCGCCAAUCAAAUGUAAAGAUGAAUUAUCUAGAACCCUACCUGAGAAAACAUGUAGAACACCUGGUGAAUGCAUGAACACCUGGUAUCAUAGCAAUGUAGCAGUGGGUGAGAAAAUGGCAAACCUUAAUAUCAUCAGUGAAGCACCUUAGUCUCGUUUAUUCCGCAAUUAUUCUGUGGUGAUAUUUUGCUCCUCACAACGAAAGUAGCCAUGUACACCCACUAAUUUUUGAUGAGUGAUGCAGAUCGAAAUUUGAAUAUAAAGUAUGUAAAAGUCUACGAGAACGAACAUAAGAACACCUGCACAACAAGCCAAGAAAAUAAGCACACCUAGUAUGAUAGCAAAUGUAGCAGUAGGUGAGAAAAUGGCAAACCUUAAUAUCAUCAGUGAAGCACCGAAGUCUCGUAUAUUCCGCAAUUAUUCUGUUGUGAUAUUUUGGUCCUCACACCGAAAAUAGCCAUGUACACCCACUGAUUUUUAAUGAGUGAUGCAGACUGAAAUUUGAAUACAAAGUAUGUAAUAGCCUACGAGAACGAACAUAAGAACACCUGCA
rnacentral:lncRNA from 1 species